AAGUGAAGAGUUUGAUCCUGGCUCAGAUUGAACGCUGGCGGCAUGCCUAACACAUGCAAGUCGAACGGCAGCGCGGAGAGCUUGCUCUCUGGCGGCGAGUGGCGGACGGGUGAGUAAGGCAUCGGAAUCUGCCCUGUUGUGGGGGAUAACGUAGGGAAACUUACGCUAAUACCGCAUACGACCUACGGGUGAAAGUGGGGGACCUUCGGGCCUCACGCGACAGGAUGAGCCGAUGUUCGAUUAGCUAGUUGGUGGGGUAAAGGCUUACCAAGGCGACGAUCGAUAGCUGGUCUGAGAGGAUUAUCAGCCACACUGGGACUGAGACACGGCCCAGACUCCUACGGGAGGCAGCAGUGGGGAAUAUUGGACAAUGGGGGCAACCCUGAUCCAGCAAUG
rnacentral:rRNA from 1 species